rnacentral:miRNA from 1 species
UUAAUAAUGGCGGUGGAGGGGGGGGGGGGGGAAAGAAAAAAAAAAACCUCCCCGUUAUAUUGUUCCUGCCGUUCUGCCGCCGGGAUCCGGUGGUCUUUUUUUUUUUUUCCCCCCCCCCCCCCCCAACCCCACUCGCUCUU